rnacentral:tRNA from 1 species
GCGGCUGUAGUGUAGCCUGGUAUCACUCGAGAUUGCCAAUCUUGCAACCCGGGUUCAAAUCCCGGCAGCCGCA